rnacentral:rRNA from 1 species
GGGCCAGUAGGUUGGUCGUGCCACCGGUACGUACUGGUCUCACUGAUUCCUCCUUCCUGAAGAACCGUAAUGCCAUUAAUUUGGUGUUGCGGGGAAACAGGACUGUUACUUUGAAAAAAUUAGAGUGUUUAAAGCAAGCUAACGCUUGAAUACAUUAGCGUGGAAUAAUGAAAUAGGACGAUCGAUCCUAUUUUGUUGGUUUCUAGGAUUGACGUA